rnacentral:misc_RNA from 1 species
AAGGUCGUAACAAGGUUUCCGUAGGUGAACCUGCGGAAGGAUCAUUAUCGAGACAGGGUCCUUCGGGGCCCGACCUCUCCAACCCACUGUUUAUAAAGCCCAUGUUGCCUCGGCGGAACGUCGGUGUGCCUCGCCAGAAGCCCCGCCUCGGACGCCCUAAUAUUAGGGGUUUAGAGUGUUUUUCCGCCGGCGGAAUUAUACACAAAAAGCCCCUUUUGAAAAACCCAGUUACCUCUGAGGUGAAGAACUUAAAUUACUUCAAAAG